UACGGGGGGGCAAGCGUUGUUCGGAAUUACUGGGCGUAAAGGGCUCGUAGGCGGCCAACUAAGUCAGACGUGAAAUCCCCAGGCUCAACCUGGGAACUGCGUCUGAUACUGGAUGGCUUGAAUUCGGGAGAGGGAUGCAGAAUUCCAGGUGUAGCGGUGAAAUGCGUAGAUAUCAGGAGGAACACCCGUGGCGAAGGCGGCUCUCUGGGUCGGACCUGACGCUGAGGCGACGAAAGCGUGGGGAGCGAACGGG
rnacentral:rRNA from 1 species